ACCUAGAUAAGUUUCAAUGAGGCAGUGAACAUAAAUGCAUUCAUAAACCACGUGUGAAAUGCUUGGGGAAAGUUCCACGUAAAUUCUUGGUAAUUUACAUGGCACUUUUCCGAAGCACUUCAUGUGUGAUUUAUGUAUGCAUUUGUAUUAGCUGCUUCAUUAAAAGUUAUCUAGGU